rnacentral:rRNA from 1 species
UACGAAGGGGGCUAGCGUUGCUCGGAAUUAUUGGGCGUAAAGCGCACGUAGGCGGCUUAGCAAGUCGGAUGUGAAAUCCCUCGGCUCAACCAAGGAAGUGCAUCCGAAACUGCUGAGCUUGAGUACGAAAGAGGAUCGCGGAAUUCCCGGUGUAGAGGUGAAAUUCGUAGAUAUCGGGAGGAACACCAGUGGCGAAGGCGGCGAUCUGGGUCGAUACCGACGCUGAGGUGCGAAAGCGUGGGGAGCAAACAGG